GAUGAACGCUGGCGGCGUGCUUAACACAUGCAAGUCGAACGAAGCACUUUAGUUGAUUUCCUUCGGGACUGAUUAUUUUGUGACUGAGUGGCGGACGGGUGAGUAACGCGUGGGUAACCUGCCUUGUACAGGGGGAUAACAGUUGGAAACGGCUGCUAAUACCGCAUAAGCGCACGGCAUCGCAUGAUGCAGUGUGAAAAACUCCGGUGGUAUAAGAUGGACCCGCGUUGGAUUAGCUAGUUGGUGAGGUAACGGCCCACCAAGGCGACGAUCCAUAGCCGACCGGGGAGGGUGACCGGCCACGAUGGGAAUGAGACACGGACCAAACUCCUACGGGAGGCAGCAGUGGGGAAUAUUGCACACUGGGCGAAAGCCUGAUGCAGCGACGCCGCGUGAGCGAAGAAGUAUUUCGGUAUGUAAAGCUCUAUCAGCAGGGAAGAUAAUGACGGUACCUGACUAAGAAGCACCGGCUAAAUACGUG
rnacentral:rRNA from 1 species